CUGCUUCCUCCCUUCUCCACCCUCCCUGGGUUGUUUCUCUGGAGCACCCUGGCUGGCACGUGGUACUGUUGUUUGGAGAAGUGUCUCCCCAAGGUGAUGGGACCCUGGCGAGCGGGAUCUGGUGCGAAGUUCUAGGCCACUGGGCACCUGCCCUGGAAGGGGGCGGUGGAGCUCUGGUCCCUUCUGUUUGUCUUCGCCCCUUGGCUGUGGCACAGUGGGUUUGUUCCGCCUCACGCUCCCACUGUGCUGUGCUGUCUCACCGCAGCCCCAAAGCAACAGGGCCAAUCCGUCGUGGACGGGAGCGUCAACCUUCUCUCCGUAUAACUUAGUUAUCUCAGGUAUUUGCUGUAGUGAUGGGAAGCUCGCUAGCACACAGCCCCAUUUGCUGCCCCCUCGGAAGUCCAGCUGGACUCUGGAGCAUGAGCAGCAGCAGUGGAGGUGCUGUUGUAGGGGUGGCCCUCGCCUCGCCUGGCAGCCCCCGGCGGAAGGGGACCAAUUGCAGUCGCACGGGAGAUUAGAAGUAGCCACAGAUUCUUUGCCACUGGGGCUGCUCUGUCAGGACACAUGGGUGGAGGUGAUGCUGACCCUGUUUCCAGCCCAGGCGCCACCUCCUGUCCCCUGGGCAUCCGCCAGGAGCCCAGUGGACCUGUGAGGUUCAGAGCCCUGUGGAUGUGGCAC
rnacentral:lncRNA from 1 species